CAAUAGCGUAUAUUUAAGUUGUUGCAGUUAAAAAGCUCGUAGUUGGAUUUCGGAUGGGAUUUGCCGGUCCGUCGUUACGAUGUGCACUGGCCAGUCCUAUCUUGUUGUCGGGGACUAGCUCCUUGGAUUCACUUCCUGGGACUAGGAGCUGACGAGGUUACUUUGAGUAAAUUAGAGUGUUCAAAGCAAGCCUACGCUCUGAAUACAUUAGCAUGGAAUAACACGAUAGGACUCUGGCUUAUCUUGUUGGUCUGUGAGACCAGAGUAAUGAUUAAGAGGGACAGUCGGGGACAUUCGUAUUUCAUUGUCAGAGGUGAAAUUCUUGGAUUCAUGAAAGACGAACUUCUGCGAAAGCAUUUGUCAAGGAUGUUUUCAUUAA
rnacentral:rRNA from 1 species